ACACAAAAAGGGAAGGUUCCCCUUUAAACAAUAAUGCUCUUACGAACCUAUUUUUUUUUGCAUCAUAAUAGCCAUUUCAUCCCUGCCUGCAUCACCAGAUGGGGAGUGCUGAUGUCAGGCUACCUCAAGGCUCAGCGCUGUGGUAGGAGUGGCCCAGCCUCCAGGGCAGGGCGUUUAUUGAGCACCUACACUCUGCCAGGCAUCGGAGCACAGAUAAAGGAUGGCCCCUGUGCUGGCAGAGCGCAAAUCCAGGAUGAGGAAUAUGAGGGAUGAGGUGAAUUCAAAGAAAAACAAAUUAAUGCGUCGCUGGCUCCUGGGGGAAGAACUGACCUCCUCCUGAGGACAGGGUGGAGAACCUGGCAGCUGAUCAGUGAACGCACAUAGGAGGUUGACAGCGCAGGAUCCCGUUGCCAUAAAUGGAAGCAGUGUUUGGAGAGUUGUUUUUGCCGUGUCUCCUGGACUUAAAUGGAACUGUACUCUGGUGCAGAGAUGGACAGAAGAGAGGAGACUAGAAGAGAGCAGAGGAGUGGGUGUCUCCGUUGGGAGCAGGCCGCCAGUCCAUGCACUGGGGUUCCAAGUUCAAAUAUGCUUGCAGCAAAGUUUCAGUUCAGCUUUUUCUCUAUGCACAAUGAAGCUGUUGUGUGUCCAGAAGCUCGGAGAAUGCAGCUGGAUUUCUAGGACUCAAUGGCCAGUGUCUUUUUGAUCCUCCUCUUUUGGAGAUACACCCCGCAGGACACAUUGGUUCUGGAGAGUAAGAUACCAGCCAGUUGUUGCUGUAAAGGCUAGAAGACAGAAGCAUAUCCUAGCCGGAGUUCUCAGCCCACACGGGCCGCUGGGAGCCGCUGGGAGCCGCUGAGCGAUCGGCGAGUCAUGGCUCCCAGUAGACCAAGCAACGCUUUGCCCUUCAGAUGUGUCCUGCCACAGACGGCCAUUUAAAGGGGUUAAGUUCCUGGACUGCUGGGUGCUUUUGCUGCGUUAGUUUAAUUUUGUAAGCUGCCCUGUAUAGGAAUGUGUUGAAUAAAUGCCCAUCUGAUUUCAAAAGCCCAGAGGGAUUUCUGUGCUUACU